rnacentral:SRP_RNA from 1 species
CCGUGCUAGCCGGGGAGUUAGCGGUGCCCUGUACCUGCAAACCGCUAUAGCGGGGGUGAUGUCCUGCCUAGGGCUUAUUAUUGUGGAGCUGCCCUUGGAAAGUGGCGUUGACGUUCUGGUCUUACGCAAUGGAAACCCAUGAACCGUGUCAGGAGGGGAACCUAGCAGCACUAAGUGGGAACUUCUGUGUGCCGUAAGGUAGCUGGAACUGAGCAGGCUGCCAAGGUAACGUCUGCGAUGAUAUCUUCAAAGCAGGAUGCACGG